AGCCGCGGUAAUACCGGUGGCCCGAGUGGUAGCCGCUUUUAUUGGGUCUAAAGGGUCCGUAGCCGGUUCGGUCAGUCCAUUGGGAAAUCCGGAUGCUCAACAUCCGGGCUUCCAGUGGAUACUGCCGAACUUGGGAUCGGGGGAGGUAAGAGGUACUACAGGGGUAGGAGUGAAAUCUUGUAAUCCUUGUGGGACCACCUGUGGCGAAGGCGUCUUACCAAAACGAGUCCGACGGUGAGGGACGAAAGCUGGGGGCACGAACCGGAUUAGAUACCCGGGUAGUCCCAGCCGUAAACGAUGCUCGCUAGGUGUCAGGCAUGGCGUGACUGUGUCUGGUGCCGAAGGGAAGCCGUGAAGCGAGCCACCUGGGAAGUACGGCCGCAAGGCUGAAACUUAAAGGAAUUGGCGGGGGAGCACAACAACGGGUGGAGCCUGCGGUUUAAUUGGACUCAACGCCGGAAAACUCACCAGGAGAGACAGCAAUAUGUAGGUCAAGCUGAAGACUUUACCUGAAUCGCU
rnacentral:rRNA from 1 species